UACGUAGGGGGCGAGCGUUGUCCGGAUUUACUGGGCGUAAAACGCUUGUAGGCGGUCACGCCAAGUCGGAUGUGAAAUCUCCCGGCUUAACUGGGAGGGGUCAUUCGAUACUGGCGGGCUCGAGGCAGGUAGGGGGAAGCGGAAUUCCCGGUGUAGUGGUGGAAUGCGUAGAUAUCGGGAGGAACACCAGUGGCGAAGGCGGCUUCCUGGACCUGUUCUGACGCUGAGGAGCGAAAGCGUGGGGAGCGAUCCGG
rnacentral:misc_RNA from 1 species